GUACGGGAGGCAGCAGUGGGGAAUCUUGCACAAUGGGCGAAAGCCUGAUGCAGCGACGCCGCGUGGAGGAUGAAGGCCUUCGGGUUGUAAACUCCUUUUCUUGGGAAAGAUGAUGACGGUACCCAAGGAAUAAGCCACGGCUAACUCUGUGCCAGCAGCCGCGGUAAGACAGAGGUGGCAAGCGUUGUUCGGAAUUACUGGGCUUAAAGGGCGAGUAGGCGGUGGAGCAAGUCUGAUGUGGAAUCCUAUGGCUUAACCAUAGAACUGCCUUAGAAACUGCUUUACUUGAGUCAGUGAGGGGAGGGCGGAAUUCCUGGUGUAGCGGUGAAAUGCGUAGAUAUCAGGAGGAAGGCCUGUGGCGAAAGCGGCCCUCUGGCACUGUACUGACGCUGAGGCGCGAAAGCGUGGGGAGCAAACAGGAUUAGAUACCCCGGU
rnacentral:rRNA from 1 species